GACGAACGCUGGCGGCGUGCUUAACACAUGCAAGUCGAACGGUAAGGGCCUGCUUGGGUGGGUUUCUCGAGUGGCGAACGUGUGUGUAACACGGGAGUAACCUGCCCUUCACUUGGGGAUAACUGGGGGAAACUGGGGCUAAUAGCGUAUAUGAGGUCCUGCUCCUUGGAGGGGCGUGGAAGGUUUCGGCGGGUGGGGAUGGGCUCGCGGCUUAUCAGCUUGUUGGUGGGGUAGUGGCUUACCAAGGCUUUGACGGGUAGCUGGCCUGAGAGGGCGACCGGCCAGAUUGGGACUGAGACACGGCCCAGACUCCUACGGGAGGCAGCAGUGGGGAAUAUUGCACAAUGGGCGGAAGCCUGAUGCAGCAACGCCGCGUGCGGGAUGAAGGCCUUCGGGUUGUAAACCGCUUUCGCCAGUGACGAAGCGAAAGUGACGGUAAUGGCUAAAGAAGCCCCGGCUAACUACGUG
rnacentral:rRNA from 1 species